AUUUGAUGCCAGUUCCUGGUUGAGAGCUCAGCUAUGGCUAUUGACUGGAUAUCUACACAGGGCUGUCCUUGUGGCAUGGGAGUCUCACAAUGACAACUGAGUUCUCAGAAGGAGAGUGCCUACAGCAGGCACUCCAAAAGAGGUAGGCAGAAGGUGUAACACUUCAUAUGACCUAGCUUUGGGAAUUGUGCAAUGUUACUUAGUUCUGCUUUUUAUCAAUCAAGUGAGUCACAGGCUCAGUCCAGAUUCAGGGGAAAGGAAACUAGACUACAUCUCUUUAUAGGGAGAAUGACUAGGAAUUUGUAGCCACCUAUAAUCCAGUAUAUGCUCUGAUGUCUCAGUUGCAUCUGUGGUUAGACUAGAGAUAUCUGGAUCCAUAUUAACACCUACUGUCAACAAACAGAAGAAACAGUAGGCUGCUAAGGAGAUUCAUAAAAUGACUAAGCUGUUGAGAUGUUGUACACAUACAAACACAGACAUACACUUAUGCGCACACACAAGUAUCUUAUUGCUAAUGGAAUAUUACUAAGGAUGAAGAAAGCCCACUUUUUUGAGUGGAUUUUAUUUCUCCUUUACUGAAAACUAUCAGCACUUUAAGAAAUAUACAAUAAUUUAAAAUGCAUUCCUAUAAACUACUACUCCUUUACUUUAGUCUCUUGUGAUAACUUUAUUAGAUAUGCUUGGCCUAAUAUGUUUAAAGUUAAAGGACUAAUUGAGGUGAAUGAGAUUGUAAGUCUAACCAUUAUAAUAUUAAAACCUAGCAGAGUUGUAGGAAUAUUUUUUUUUAAAUAAUUCAAACAGCAUACUGCUAUACUUAAAGUUAAGAUGCUAAAGAAGAUAUUCACAAGUCACCUGGCUUUAUCACAUGGCUUCCAGAGAAGGAAAUGGGUAAAAUUCCAAAGAGAAGUGGUUUGUAGUCCUCUUUAAAAAAUGUUCUUAUGGGUCGGGCGCCGUGGCUCACGCCUGGAAUCCCAGCACUUUGGGAGGCCGAGGCGGGCUGAUCACAAGGUCAGGAAAUCAAGACCAUCCUGGCUAACACGGUGAAACCUCGUGUCUACUAAAAAUACAAAAAAAAAAAAAAAAAAAAAAGAAUUACCCAGGCAUGGUGGCAAGCGCCUGUAGUCCCAGCUACUCAGGAGGCUGAGGCAGGAGAAUGGCGUGAACCCGGGGAGGCAGAGCUUGCAGUGAGCUGAGAUCAUGCCACUGCACUCCAGCCUUGGUGACAGAGCGAGACUCUGCCUCUAAAUAAAUAAAUAAAUAAAUAAAUAAAUAAAACAAAAUAGAAAAGUUCUUAUCACUAGUACAAGGAGAAAUCCUUGGCUUGUCCUAAUAUUAAUUCACGUCAUAAUCACAGCAUUCUUCCUUAUUUCCUCAGUGAACUCCUUGAGGACAAGGAAUAGUGUCUUGAAAACCUUUGUAAUCCUCAAAUUACCAAGUACUGUGCCUAGUAUAUGAUAAACAACAAGCAAUAAAGGGAUCAGGUAGUAAAAGUAACAUCUGAUCUUCCUGGAAAAUGGACACUGAAUGACCAACAAGAUUUCUAAGCAAUUCUAUUACACAAAAUUCUUGAAGAUACCACACAGUUUGCUCUUUUUUGGUCAAAGCAAUUCUAACUUACUCAACAAACACCUGGGAAUUCCCGAUGUGGUCAUAGGACCCUGUGCUAGAGUCUAAGGAGGAAAAAUAUGUAUAAAAUGCCAUCUUGUAUAUUUUAUACACAUGUGAUUUUAGUGGAUUAAUCUGGUUCUUAAAGUGUUGUGGGGAUACUCAAAUUAUUAUCACUUACAGUAUAUAUAAAGAAAAGAUUUAGAAUAAAUUUACUUUUUUCGUUCUUUUUCAACAAGGAGAACAAAACGAUCAGGCACUUUUGUUUUAAAAAGGGUCUGAAAAAAAUCUAUGUUAUAAAAGAGGUGUUCAUCGUAGUCAUUCAGUUAAAGUAAAAUUUUAUUGGAACCAAUUUUGACCGGUUUGUGAAAAAUUCUGUCUGUUUCAGGUAGUAGAUAAUAAGCGAAUUUAUGAUUUAAAAAGCAAUGGUGGCCGGGCACGGUGGCUCACACCUGUAAUCCCAGCACUUUGAAAGGCCGAGGCAGGUGGUUUGUUUGAGCUCAGGGGUUCGAGACCAGCCUGGGUAACAUGGUGAAACCCUGUCUCUACUAAAAAUAUAAAAAUUAGCUUGGCAUGGUGGCACACGCCUGUAAUCCCAGCUACUUGGGUGGCUGAGGCAGGAGAAUCACUUGAACCCGGGAGACGGAGGCUGCAGUGAACCAAGAUCAAACCACUGCACUCCAGCCUGGGGUGACAGAGUGAGACCCUGUCUCAAAAAGUAAAAUAAAAUAAAAUAAAAUAAAAAUAAAGUAAAAUAAAAAGCAGUGGUAACAAGCAGUGAUCUUAUAACUUUCAUUUUCUCUAGGGCACUCCCAGACCAAGAGAUGGAUUAGCUGUUUACCACACUCCUUUCUAUUGCUAGUCUCCACGUCUUAACCUAUGAGAGACUGUAUAACUGAGCUGUAGAUGAAAUAAGGUGGGCCAAAGCAAUAUAUGCCACAAGGAAUACCCACAAGCAUGACUUAUGUUAGUUUUCCUGCUCGACUCUAGGAAAUAAAGCAGAACAUAGACUCAGCUGCUUCACCAGCCCCAAUGUCCACCUACCUGGAACUCCCAUAGGUGUUAAAUAGGUGAACAUUAAAAACUUUCAAUUUGCUGACCCAUUAUAUUUCUGAGUACACUUGUUGUUCAGCUUCACCUACCCCAAUGAAUAUAUGAUAUCAGACAUAUUAAAAGACAUUUGGAUUCUGUAUUAAACUAUUUUCUAUCCAAGUUUUAAAAGAGUGUCUCUAUGAUUUCAAAAAUAUGUUUGAAUGAAUAUCUUUAAUGUACAAUUGGCUAUAUGCUAUCUGUAAUCAUACCAUAAGCCUGGGAAUCUUUGUAAUGUAAAAGUUUAAAUGACAAAAUCCUGACAGAUUUAAUUAGGUUUUUGUGACUGUUAAGUUGACAACUAUAGGUAACAAUAUUUCAUUAUAUAGAUAUUUAAACA
rnacentral:lncRNA from 1 species